rnacentral:lncRNA from 1 species
UUGCUUAUUGAAUGAAAAGGCGAAAUUUCUCGGCGAGCAUUUGAACCAAACAGUUAUUUGUAUCACAAAAAAGAAAGAAAAAAAAUAAAGUCAAUUGUGUGGGGAUAGGAAGAGUAAAUUAGCGAUUUCCAUAGAGAUAUUUAACAUUAACAUAUAUUUUAUCAGUUAAUUUAUCUAUAUGUGUGGAAGUUUGACUAGACCAGAAAUACACACACACCAGAGAAAGAUAUUCCUAACCUGCCUUUACUGCUUCUUGCAACAUUUCAAGUACCAUAUGCAAGGUUUCAUCUAAUGCCUGGAAACCAUAUUAAGGUAUGCAAGGUUUCAUCUGAUGCCUGGAAACCAUAUUAAGGUACAUGGCAACAAUAGCAAAAUAUAUUCGAAAAAGGGAUUUAUAUUGUACAGUACAUGAUUA